rnacentral:misc_RNA from 1 species
AACGCACAUUGCGCCCGCCAGUAUUCUGGCGGGCAUGCCUGUUCGAGCGUCAUUUCAACCAUCAAGCCCCGGGCUUGUGUUGGGGACCUGCGGCUGCCGCAGGCCCUGAAAACCAGUGGCGGGCUCGCUAGUCACUCCGAGCGUAGUAGUUACAUCUCGCUCAGGGCGUGCUGCGGGUUCCGGCCGUUAAAAGCCUUUUACCCCAAGGUUGACCUCGGAUCAGGUAGGGAUACCCGCUGAACUUAA